ACUCAAAGGAAUUGACGGGGGCCCGCACAAGCGGCGGAGCGUGCGGUUUAAUUCGACGCAACGCGCAGAACCUUACCAGGGCUUGACAUGCCCCUGCAGAGCCGGGAAACCGGUUGGCCUUCGAGGGUGGGGCACAGGUGCUGCAUGGCUGUCGUCAGCUCGUGUCGUGAGAUGUUGGGUUAAGUCCCGCAACGAGCGCAACCCCCGGGGGUAGUUGUCGAUGUUUCUACCCCGACUGCCGCGAGCAACGCGGAGGAAGGUGGGGAUGAUGUCAAGUCAGCAUGGCCCUUACGUCCUGGGCAACACGCACGCUACAAUGGGGGGGACAAUGGGUAGCCAAGCGGCAACGCGGAGCGAAUCCCCGCAAAACCCCUUCUCAGUUGGAAUUGUGGGCUGCAACUCGCCCGCAUGAACGUGGAGUCGCUAGUAACCGCCGGUCAGCACUACGGCGGUGAAUACGUUCCCGGGCCUUGCACACACCGCCCGU
rnacentral:rRNA from 1 species